CCCAGCAACGCCGCGUGAGGGAUGAAGGCCUUCGGGUUGUAAACCUCUUUUCCUGGGGAAGAAUUUUGACGGUACCCAGGGAAUAAGCCUCGGCCAACUACGUGCCAGCAGCCGCGGUAAUACGUAGGAGGCGAACGUUAUUCGGAUUUACUGGGCGUAAAGGGAGCGUAGGCGGUUCCUCAAGUCGGAUGUGAAAUCUUCUGACUCAAUCCGGAGGCGCCAUUUGAUACUGAGGGACUUGAGAGCAGCAGAGGGAAAUGGAAUCUCCAGUGUAGCGGUGAAAUGCGUAGAUAUUGGAGAGAACACCAGUGGCGAAGGCGAUUUUCCAGGCUGCUUCUGACGCUGAGGCUCGAAAGCGUGGGGAGCGAACCGACUAAAUACCCGGUAGUCCACGCCCUAAACGGUGGACACUAGAUAUAG
rnacentral:rRNA from 1 species